AUUCCAUCGGCUCUAUACAUGCAGUCGACGCGUCUCCGUUAAUGAUUUUAGGUGCUUGCACUUGAAAGAUUUAACAUUGAGACGAGUGGCGAACUGGUGAGUAACACGUGGGUAACCUGCCCUUGAAGUAGGGGAUAACACUUGGAAACAGGUGCUAAUACCGUAUAACAACCAAAACCACCUGGUUUUGGUUUAAAAGACGGCUUCGGCUGUCACUUUAGGAUGGACCCGCGGCGUAUUAGCUUGUUGGUAAGGUAACGGCUUACCAAGGCGAUGAUACGUAGCCGACCUGAGAGGGUAAUCGGCCACAUUGGGACUGAGACACGGCCCAAACUCCUACGGGAGGCAGCAGUAGGGAAUCUUCCACAAUGGACGAAAGUCUGAUGGAGCAACGCCGCGUGAGUGAUGAAGGGUUUCGGCUCGUAAAACUCUGUUGUUGGAGAAGAACAGGUGUCAGAGUAACUGUUGACAUCUUGACGGUAUCCAACCAGAAAGCCACGGCUAACUACGUGCCAGCAGCCGCGGUAAUACGUAGGUGGCAAGCGUUGUCCGGAUUUAUUGGGCGUAAAGCGAGCGCAGGCGGUUUUUUAGGUCUGAUGUGAAAGCCUUCGGCUUAACCGGAGAAGUGCAUCGGAAACCGGGAGACUUGAGUGCAGAAGAGGACAGUGGAACUCCAUGUGUAGCGGUGAAAUGCGUAGAUAUAUGGAAGAACACCAGUGGCGAAGGCGGCUGUCUGGUCUGUAACUGACGCUGAGGCUCGAAAGCAUGGGUAGCGAACAGGAUUAGAUACCCUGGUAGUCCAUGCCGUAAACGAUGAGUGCUAAGUGUUGGAGGGUUUCCGCCCUUCAGUGCUGCAGCUAACGCAUUAAGCACUCCGCCUGGGGAGUACGACCGCAAGGUUGAAACUCAAAGGAAUUGACGGGGGCCCGCACAAGCGGUGGAGCA
rnacentral:rRNA from 1 species